rnacentral:rRNA from 1 species
UACGGAGGGGCUAGCGUUGUCGGAAUCACUGGGCGUAAAGCGCACGUAGGCGGACUCUUAAGUCGGUGGUGAAAUCCUGGAGCUCAACUCCAGAACUGCCUUCGAUACUGAGAGUCUCGAGUCCGAGAGAGGUGAGUGGAACUGCGAGUGUAGAGGUGAAAUUCGUAGAUAUUCGCAAGAACACCAGUGGCGAAGGCGGCUCACUGGCUCGGUACUGACGCUGAGGUGCGAAAGCGUGGGGAGCAAACGGG